GUAUGAUCAGACCAUUUAAAAAGCUACAACAGCAAAGGACAAAAGCAUAUGAAAAUAUGCUCAACUUCACUAGUUAUCAGGGAAUUGAAAAAUAAAAUGGGGAGGUACUAUUUAUAACCUUCAGAUCAGCCAAACACAAUUAAUUUGUUGGCACCAAGUUUUGGUGAAAACGUCAGACAUUGCUGGUGGGCUUGGAAAUUAGAAUAGCUUUCUCAGAGCAAUCUGCCAGUGGAAAUUCAACCACAGCUCAGCAAUUGUAUUUCUAAUUUAUUGAGGGUCUACCAAUAAACACUAGACAUAGGAUAAAUGUGCAAGCAGGUUAAUUGCAUUCUUUGUAAUUAAAAAAAGGAGUGGGGGGAAUAGAUGCCCCUGAAGAGGAGAUUGGAUUCAAAAAAUAUUUUUUUAAAGUUAAAAGUAUAUUAAACAAUUUAAAAAGUAAAUUCACCAAUAUUCACAUUGAUGCAUUUCAAAAGCAUUGGGUCGAGCAUAAAAAAUUUGAAAAAUAUAAAAUAUAUCAUUUAUGUAAGUUUAAAAAACAUGCAACAUGUUCAAACGCACACAUAUGUAUAUGAAUAAAACCACAUGGUAAAAGUCUAGAAGCCACAUUGCAAUGAUCCUCACCAACCUCAGGAGGUACUGUCUGGGGAAGAGGGGGAGGAAGGCAGUGCUUUACUGUAUCUUCCAACUUUUAUUUCUUUUAAACAAAACAACAAACAAGAUCUGUUUCCAGUAAUAGGAACACCUACACAUCACGUGAUGGGUACAUGAGGGUCAUAUUAUUUGUUGUACUCUGGACUGUUUCACUGUUAAAACAGGAACUUACUUGAUUUUGCAUUUUAGAAAAAGAGGACCCAGGGAGCCAAGAAUCCUUCACACGGAGGGGUGCACGCAGCACAGAGCUCGCUGUGGCCUCCAGCACAGCCUUGGAACCAUCCUCCACACCAGGGGUCCUGGCCCAGCCUGGCAGGCGGCUGGCAAGGGACAGGAGCCCCUCGGCCUGCGGUUUACAACAGUGACCAUCCAUCCAGAGGCCAGUCGGACCGCUGGGAGUGGACCGGUGCGCUUACCCCGUGCAGUGCUCCGUGGAAAACCCAGUGCACAACCUGAGUGACCAGCCAUGGUGGCCCAGCACUACAGGAUGAAACAGAAGCUGGGUCAGAGGAAAGCCAAGCACAGCCUCUCCUGAAACACCUACCCCCUGCAUCAUCCAAGCCUGGCUGCAGAGACCGGACGAUCCUUCAGGACUUCUCCAUGGAGCGUCACUGUAGGAAGCCUGGUUCCUUUUCCUCCUGACUAGCCAUAUACCCUGGCAGUCAGACAAACUUGUACAUGACUUAGUGCAAAUGCCUCAUUCCAAUUCUUUCUCAAAGGGCUUUUGGGCUGGAAGCUCCCAGAACUCCUGGGGGAUAGACUUCUCAGAACACAGGACAGACCCAGAACAGUCCUAACUUAAUGGUGGUCUUAUCAGAGGCUCACCUGGACAAACCCCCAAGCAAUCUGUUAGUUAAUAAACAGCCUAAUAGCU